GGUUCCAUGGUGUAAUUCUUUGCCCUCUGUACUCUGAAUCCAGCGAUCCGAGUUCAAAUCUCGGUGGAACCU
rnacentral:tRNA from 13 species